rnacentral:rRNA from 1 species
CUUUCAACAACGGAUCUCUUGGUUCUGGCAUCGAUGAAGAACGCAGCGAAAUGCGAUAAGUAAUGUGAAUUGCAGAAUUCAGUGAAUCAUCGAAUCUUUGAACGCACAUUGCGCCCUUUGGUACUCCAAGGGGCAUGCCUGUUCGAGCGUC